UUCUGUCACACUUCAUUAGAGGAUGGUCAGGGAUAGCCAAGGGAAAAAAAAAGAAGAGAGGCUGACUGAAAAUGUUUCAUUUCCUUCAGAAAUCAGACUAGAAAUCUUUGCAGCACAUGUGGGUUGGCUGUGAGCAGCUCUGAGUAUGUGUGAGAUGAGAAUGGUGGCCUCUAAAGUCAAACGAGCAGGAUGCUGAGAGCUGCGAAGAUAUAUAGCCUUACCUCAUCAGCAGCCCAGGCUGAACUUUGUGGACUUCAAUGGUUUUUGUUUUCAGUCUUAACUCAUCGUCUUCUUCUUUGAGGUCAUUAUGGCUGUGGCUGCUUGGCUUCCCCUUCCCAGCCCAUGUAAGUUCAUCCCAGGAAAGCACCAAGCCAAGAACUUGCACAAACCCAAACAGGUGCUCGCAAGACUCCUGGCACUGGCUUGUCAGAGGUUGUCUGCAAGACCACAGGCCUCUGGAAAACGUAUUACCAAUGCCUUGAAUUGCAUUUCUGUACAUCACAGAAACAUAGGAAUUGGAUGGCAAGCUCAAGUCAUGAAUUACCACACUUUGAAAGUAUUAUUCCCUUGGCCUUGUCCACAAGCCAAAGAGGAACUGACCUGAACGGAUUUCUGCCUUUGCUUGCCUGAGGCUCCCAUUCUUCCUUCAAAACAUUUUUUCACAUUUCUUCUGAGAAACAAUACCACCAAAUAAGGUAGUAGAGAAUAUAUAAUGAAAUAUGAGAAGAUUGUUGUGGAAUCCAUUAUAUUGUCGUCUUCACAGUUCACCUUCUUGCCUCAAAUUACCUUUGUUCCCCCCUAUUCUCCCACGAGCCUUCCUGUUUGUUCUUUUUUUCUUUUGACUGCCCACUUUCACACUUGUUUUGGCUUUCCUUCAGCUUUUUAAUAUUGUAUCUAUUCCUUGAAUAUACUAUAGUUUGACAUUCUGUUUCAUGAGUCACCGCUGGGGCUAGAGUUCGAAGUAGAUCAAAUCACACAAACUAGUUCUUAUAGCUCCCUAAAACUAAAUUUAAUUCAUGCUCCUUUUCAUCCUGAUAAACCUUUGUGGAUUCUUUCCUCCAUACACUCCCCCCAAAAUAUUAUGAAGUAAAUGUAAUUAUUGCACAUAAUGAUGACUAUAAGCUGGGGAUGGAAGGAACCCACAACUUCCCUUUUCCCUGUGCACAGGUACGAAGCUAACAUACCACAGAAAGUCUGAAUCAUGUGUCUUUCCUCAGAAGGUUUCUUUAACUGUUUUUUCUCCAAUUAAUUCAACUUUAUGAUCCAUAGUGAGAAAAUUCAGUGGUAGUAAACUGAGUAUGCAUAUUGACUUGUUCCCUAGUGAAAUGCUGCAUGGCAGCAACACUGAAUCCCCAGUGUUUCUCUGGCCAAAAAUUGUUUUUCCCACCUUUUCUUCUAUCAUGCAUUGUUGAACUUGUUUUCUCCACUCCAGUACAAAUAAUGCUGGUGCUUAGAAGAAUGCAUGCUCACCAAAAAACAACUGAAUUCUCCAUACAACUGCACUUUGCUUUGUUGUUUAAUCACCUUCAGAAAUUGUUCCUAAGCUGGUAUCUGCAACUAAGAACAUUAGUCUUUAAAUAACUUCAUGUUAUGGUGGUGUUACAUGAUUAUGUUGGCAAAGAUUUCUGUUAUGGUGUCAUCAUAAUUUUCAUUAGUACAGUGAAUUAUGACAGCUUGUUCUCUGCUUAAAUUGAUGUGAUUACUACUCUGAAACCCUGGCACAUUUUGCUAACACCUGACAUCUGGAAAAGAAAGGUGGGAGGCAAAGCAAGCUCUCAAGGUUGCUGUGUGAUGCACACUGAUGGUCUCCUCAUUUGUUCCAGUAGCCAAGGGCAAUGGCCUUUUUUGGUCAGCAGAACUAACUCCGUUCAUGCAAUGAUAAAACAAAUACCUGUUCUGACUAGUGAUGGAAAAUACCAUCAAACAAUGUGUUGUGCUGAAUAGGCAGUGACUGGAAUUAGCAGCACAUUCCUAUUUAAACUAAGGUAAUGUGUCAAAGUGGGUGGAUGAAGUGGAGAAUUAUUUUUUAAAUAACAGAAAAAAAAACCAUGCAGGUGUACAUAUGUACAUGCAAGCAUACAUCAAAUCAAAGGCACGUAUAAGAACAGAAAUUAUUGUUCUACCUUGUUAAAUGGAAGAUAGUUCUACCAGCAAAACUGUAAAGGUAUCAAUUUCUAGCUUAUCUAACAAAGGAUAUACUCUAGCUCUUGCAUGACCAUGGCUGGUACUGCACAGGGGAUGUUGGUUCUGCAGGAGCUGCGCAAACACACAGCCUGGUGCAGCACAGCUCUGCUUUGUGCCCCGCUGCAAAGGGAGAGACAGAUGUACCUGCUCUUCUCUGCCUGAAUGGGAACAGCCACUGCCUUGUCCUUGUUCUCCCUUUAACCCUGUCCUACCCUUUAAGGGUUGACACUGUCAGAUCAGUUUUCACACCAUAGGUUCCUGCAGGAGCUCCUCAGUGUGGGGGAGCAACAAGAGCUGCCCUGUGAGGCCAGGGACACCCACACUGACCUGGCCACAGCCCUGCCUGUGACACUUGACAGACUGCAGCUCCCCACUGUGCAUCUAUUGCUGCUGAUGAAAAAUGCUGCUGCCAGCCUGCCUUGCUUCAUAUCUGGCAUUUAACAAUGGCAGCAAAAGGACCCACCAAGAACAAGGCAAGUUCACAGCGGAACUGAAUUUUCUUUGCAUUACAAGAGAAAUUCCUCUUCUGCAGCACUAAACCUCUCUCUAGCAGCUCAGAACACAGACCAUUGGCAAUGUUUUUCUGUGCAGACAUAUAUAUUCCAGCACCUGUCAGUGGUGAUGAGUCUUUUCACAGUGAUCUUGUUCCCUGUGGAGUCAGCAAGACCCACGUGCUGCCAGCGCUAUGAGUGUCCGACAGGAAAAUCUGAUUUGCACUUCCACCAUUAAGCUUCUAUUUCCAGCCCUGAAAAUUAUGCUGGGUGACAUUAGGCAGCCAGGCUCCAUAAAACAGGGUAGACAAGACUGUCAGAUCGCUACCUUGGCAGAAUAAUCUGCUCUGACACUGAGGAAACCACUGUAGUGGUAAAAACGAGCCCUGACCUAACCAGGGACAUGCAUGAGUGUGUAACACCAGCGCUGCAAGACCUGGGGACGUCUGGGUGGGCCACACAGGAGACACCACUGCCUGGGGACUUGGCCAGGGCCAUGCAUCUCUGAGCAAAGCCAAAGUGCCUUCAUGAAACCUCUGUGCCUGAGCUGUAACUAUAUGAAGCAAACCCCUCAAAACCAUGGUGGUGUGGUCUCCCUCACAGAAGGUUUCUUAGGCCACUGGUAGCAACUGUGCUUGUGUGGGGCUGUGGUGCAGAGACCAGGUAGGCUGCAAAGGGCCUUGAGAGAGCAUCAAGUGCUUAGCCAAUUUAUGUGCUCUUAGCAAUAAAAAAAGUGCAACUUUCACAGCUCUACAUCCAACUUUUCUUAGAACAGAGUGAGGUCUUGUGGCUGCUGUUACCAGAGAUAUUUUCUGUACAGCUACUUAUUGAAUUUCUAAGAAAGUAACCAAAACCCAUUAAUCACUAGCAUAUUUCUUACUACUGUACCAGCCAAGGAUUACUUCAAUACUCACUUUAAUGGAUUGCUCAGAUAUGGAUGUUUUCAAGGUGAAAGGUCUUGCAAGGCUCCUUUUAUAAGCUUUCUGAAAUCUAAUCCAUCACUAAUUUUCAUAUGUCCUGCAUAGCACUAAGCUAAUGUAAUGCAUCACCACAUAAAUCCCUCUCUGAUAAAAUUAUCACGGGUAUUACAAAAACUCAAAGCAUUAUUCCUAAUUACAAGUGCCUUUUCCAGAUGUCUCACUAUUUGAGAUAUAAGCCUGGUGUGUUCAGGAGGUUUUUUUUCCUUAAUGAUGACUGGAAUAGGAAGUUUAAGAUGACACCUGGCAGCUUAGAUUUUCCAUGUCAGCGAAAAUCACAGACAGAAAUUGGGCUUUUUUAAUAACAGUUCUUACUAGAGAACAACUAGCUUCCUCCUUGUGUGUCCCCAGACUGAGGUUUUUGCCCAAGUUUCAGUACUUUUCAUCCCCCAAGCCAACCUGUUUUCUCUAACACCAUGUGAAACACUGACACGACUCCUUUGCACUUUCAAUAUUGAUUUCCCCAAAUAAUUUUGGUAUUCUCUGCUACCUAGGAUGUACAACCACCAAUCUAAGCACCAACACUAUCUGCUUCUGAUUGACUUGCUGGUUAUCCAGACAUGAUCUCCCACAGAGGAGAGAGGUAGUGGCAUUCUCCAGCUAAUUCUGGUACACACAACUGUACGCUCAGCUAAGACUGGACAGCUUUUUGUCUUUUCUGUCCUUGAGUCACUAAGAAAUUUCUUAUAAAUGGUAAGAGAAGUGCAAAAUGAGAAGCCAGGCCAGGUCUACCAUGCUAUAUGUUACAGGGAAAGCUUGUGUCCAGAAGUAGAGUACAAGAAAAGCCAGCAAAAAAUUGAUUUUUUCCAGUAAGUUUAAGGAAAGCUUGAAAAUACAAGCCUCUUAGGACCUCACAGAAUCAAUACAAUGCCUGAAAAGUAUAAAAAAGGAGAUAAGCAAACUGGAAAGGAAGCCUUGUCAGUACAUUGGCAAAAAUUAUGUUAAUGUAGAAGUCUGAUGGGUGAAGUCAUAUGCAAUGACUGUGGCAAGACAAAUGGUUAUAUCAAAGCCUGAAGACAAGAAAAGCCAAGUAAAAAAUAUACACCACAUGAAGUGAGCAGUGAUUCAGACAAGGAGACUGUGCAAGUAUCUGACAUUACCCCAGCAAAACAGUACAAAUAAAUUCUAUACAUCAGGCUACUUCAGAUGCAAGAACCGGCCCCACACAGCCCCUGGGAAGCAGGACACAGUGGAGGAGCUGCAGGGGGUUACCUGCAGGGAGUCUGAAUAACUUACCCAGGAAUAAGUGAGUUGAAUAGUGUGUAAUGCAGCUGCAUCACAUCUGUACUGUGCCAAAGCUGUAAAGCAAAGCUGAACCAGCAGUUCAGAAUUGAAGACGGCUGCAGAAAGCAAAAGCAGACACAAAUUUACAGAGAAACCAAGGACUCAAAACCAUCUCUAAGAGAUUUUUUGUUUUAACCUAAUACACCUGUCACUUUAAAGUCCAUGAAUACCAUCACCAGUACAGUAGCACUGCACAUGAAAGGAAUAUGAAAUUCACCUUUGGCUGGCUAAGUAUCAUCUAUUCAAGACUGCUCAGUGCUUCUGGGUACAAAGGUAUUUCAGGUAUUUCUGAAAUUAUGAGAUGCCCGGGCAGCUGGGCUCUUGCCUUCGUCAGCAGUGAGUGUGGUUACUUUCUGAAAACAAACUUUGUUGGGGCUUGCAAUGGGGCAGACUCUUCCCACAAGGUUAUUUAAUGUGAGUCCCAUGACAAUUCUUAAAAUUGCAAGCUGCCAGCCAGGUUUCCCAAGCCAGCGGGUUUCCAACAAGAAGUGCUUGUUUUAUUUACAGGUUACUAUUAAAGACAAGACUUGCAUUACAUUAUUAAAUUGAUAUUGCUGAGCAUGAUGUGACCAGAAUAGCUAUUCAUGCCUCAUAGUCAUAAAUGAUUUAUGCCAAGCCCACCUCCAUCCCUCCCCCUGUACUACCUCAUCUGUGCUGACAUUUCUUCGUGAAUAUUUAAGGUAAUGUCUGCUCUCAUCUCUUGUUCAAAACCAAACACAAGCACUCUGCAGAGCACGAGGGGCAGUUGCUAUUCAACACACAGAACACCGAAAAGCAAUGAAUGCUGCAACUAAUGGAUACAGCACCAGUUUAUUUGCUGAAAGGUAAUCCUUGCAAGGCUGCUUUGGGGUGUGUGUUCUACAACUCUCACCAGCAAGCCUUUAAAACUUUACCUGGAAAGUGAAUGCAAAUACUGGAGCCCUGUUACAGCCUUUCCUUAUUUAAGUACAGGAACAUUUGAUGGGGCAGAAGUUAAGUGGUGGUGGGGUGAAGUGCAUCUGGUUGGCUCAGCCUCUGGUAGAAAAUUCGCCAUCCCAGAGCAGGCGUGUGAGCAAGGGCUGAGCCUUUCGGAGACCUUCCCUCCAUCCUAGGGUCUGCUCAGGAGUUUGUCUUUCCCAGAAGGGCAGCUCUGCUCUGUGUGCCAGCACAGCUAUUUGAGCGUGCACCAAAUAAAUGACAGCAGAGCUCAUUCCUCCACGUAUGCACUGACCUUGCGUGACAGAGUUGGUAGCGAAAGACAUUUCAAGACACUCCUGAAUAGGGACACCAGUUAAUUUGUUCGUUUACUGAAAUGACAUCUUACUGCCUGCAGGGCCAUGUAUUAUGCCACUUUUAAACCUUCUCAAGCAAUACAUAUUGAUGUAUAUAAAACAUACUCUGUGCAGCUAUAUUUGUGUGUUGUUCUCAUUGUGACCUCCUGGCAUAUGAUUGGCUGUCAAAACCACAGUAAUCUGUCCCCAGUGCCUGCAGGGUUUGUGCUGCAGAGCUACUGGGAGACGCACAUGAUGUAGGAGGGACGGGGCACUGGGAUUAUGAUUAGCAACUGCGUCUGCCACACUGCACAUCUUAAAACAAUCUCUAUCCUGCUUCUGCAUACCCUGAGUGAGGUAUUGGAAAUAAUUGGGCCUGUAAAAUAAAGGCAGGCUCGAGGCACAGGGCCUGUCAUGCUCACAGGACACUGUGUCCUGCUGCAUCCUCCUUCCCUCCGUCCACCUGCUCUACUUCAAUCCUCUCACCGGGCUGCAAAAAUCCCCUGGCUGAGCAGUGGCAAUAGGAAGGAUACUGGAUACCCUCCAUCUCCCCCCUCUCCCACCUACCACAUCUGCUUUGUCCCCCUCUGUUGUGGUUUAACCCAGCAGGCAGCAAAACACCACACAUAGACUCACUGAUUCGCCACCCAGUGGGAUGGGGAAGAGAAUCAGAAAAAGGUAAAUGUCAUAGGUUAAGAUAAAACCAUCAAAUAGGACAGAAAGGGAAAAUAAUAAUAAUAAUAAGAAUAAUAAGAAUAAUAGACCAUAUAAAACAAGUGAUGCACAAUGCAAUUGCUCACCACCCGUUGACUGAUACCUAGCCGGUUCCUGAGCAACAAUUGUUGCCCUCCCAGCCAACUCCGCGAGCUCAUAUACUGAGCAUGAUGUCAUAUGGUAUUAAAUAUCCCUUUGGCCAGUUUGCGUCAGGCUUCCUGGCUGCGUCCCCUCCCAGUUUCUUGUUCACCAACAGCCUCCUUGCUGGAAAGUCCUUGAUUAACCAUAAAUGUUGCUUUGCAACAACCAAAACAUCAGCAUAUUAUCAACAUUAUUCUCAUACUAAAUCCAAAGCACAGCACUAUACCAGCUACUCAGAAGAAAAUUAACUCUUUCCCAACUGAAACCAGGACACCAUCUUGCAGCAUCACCCAGCACUGGGCUGAGUUCAUGGCUUACCUUCACCAGGAUGCAUGCCGGUGAAAGGGAGAGGAUUCUGACAGCUUUUCAAAGCCCUUCAUGUCUUAGGCACUACAAGGAGAUAUCACCAUUUAGGCAAAACACUGUUUCCAAGCACAGGGACCACCUUCCUCACUACGCGCCACCUAAAUACAGAAAUCUUCACCUGAAGGGCUGUCCCGCAAUAUUGUUAAGACAGAACAGCUUUUGAGCCAUUCUGUGGAGUCAUGAACCAUGCUUCACAUCCCUAAAGCAUAUGGGAAAUUGGCAAAGGGUCUCCCCACUUCAGAAAAGGGAGAGAAAUCCUCUGUCUGAAGGAUGGAAAGAUAAGGAGUGGGCAAGGGCAAAGGGUGCCCAGGGAGAUAAUCACCCAAACUUAGGAAGCAAGAACCUUGAAGGGAACAGGAAACUGAGCUUGGAUAAUUUUCCAAUUCAUUAACUAUUGAAAUAGAGCAAAUUCCACAUCUGGACCUGGCUUCAUUAAAUUGCAGGUUUGAGUCACAUGGACAUCUUACUGCCUAAGCUCAUCCCUCUCUAACCAGACCAGAGAGCCUGUCCCAUAGAGAGACAGUCACUCAGCAGUGCUGUCCCAUUGCAGACGUCCCCAUCAAGCAGCUCCAAGUUGCCCAUCCAAGAUUUAGUACCAGCCUUUUGAACUCAACUCCACUUUUCAAAGCCAUGGCAGCCCACAUUACCUCACGCCCUGAAAUCCUGGAGGUGAAACAAGCAUCAUCUGCCUGCACAGAGCUAACACAGCUUGGAAACGCUGCUGCUUCUGCUUGUCCAUCACACGCCAAGCACCAGACUGCAACAGGACUGUUGGCUGUUAAAUUGUGCAGCACAUAAACCUCUCCAUGAUUUCUGACAGCUCAAAAAGUUUGUGGCCAGGAGAGCCAAACAACAAUGACAAAAAAGUAGAUACACAUAUUUAGUCACCCUCAGUCCACAUUUAGGCACCUACGUACAUUGCCCACUUUCCAGCUGGGACAGACAGGAUUUUAGCUGCAAGGAACUGAGAUCAAGCUUAGCAGGAUGCCUACACACUUCAGCAUCCCCCACACUUAAUACCCAUGAUUGUUACAACAUAGCAACUAGUCUGUAAUUAGUACAGACAUUGCCAGAGCUGCCUUUGUGUUACUUAUGAGUCAUGCUACUAAAAUAUUCUUUAUUCAUUAUCCAAGUCCUUUUAAUUUCAGUGCCAGGCAUUACCAUGUUGCAAGCUACGUAGGACUCUAUCAGGCUUGUGAAAGCCAAGUUCUUUCUGAUAGGAAUCUCCAUAUUUAAUUUGAUGAAGAGUUACUUUACAAAAGAGUGAGAUCAAAAAGGUUCCUCUCUGCACAAAAGAAGAAAGAAAAACUUAAAUGCCUCUCAAAGUGAGGAAUUUUCUCCUUGUUGCUUCUCCAGACACCCAUCUAUUGUUAGAAGAACCACUUUCAACCUUGGCUUAAGUUGUGCUGUCAGUUAAUUAAAUAUUUGUAUUUCAAUGCCUUUCUAGUUAACUAGCGAGGAAAAAGACUUAUGAAGAACUCAAACUGAAUAUAAAACUUUUUUCAUCUUUAAUGUAAUAUAUGGAACAGAAAGGCAAAAACAGAGUUGAAAUAUAUUAUGACAAGAAAAUAAAAGUAAUAUUAGAAAAUU